rnacentral:rRNA from 1 species
UACGAAGGGGGCUAGCGUUGUUCGGAAUCAUUGGGCGUAAAGCGCGUGUAGGCGGUCCGGUAAGUCCGCUGUGAAAGUCGGGGGCUCAACCCUCGGAUGCCGGUGGAUACUGUCGGGCUUGAGUACGGAAGAGGCGAGUGGAAUUCCUGGUGUAGCGGUGAAAUGCGCAGAUAUCAGGAGGAACACCAAUUGCGAAGGCAGCUCGCUGGGACGUUACUGACGCUGAGACGCGAAAGCGUGGGGAGCAAACAGG